UAGCUUGCUAAUUAAGAUCUUAGUGGCGGACGGGUUAGUAACACGUGAGAACCUACCCUUUAGACAGGAAUAGCCCAUGGAAACGUGGAUUAAUGCCUGAUAGUCUCUACGGAGUAAAUGGUGCCUUCGGGUAUCGCUAGAGGAUGGGCUCGCGGCCUAUCAGCUUGUUGGUGAGGUAAAGGCUCACCAAGGCGACGACGGGUAGCUGGUCUGAGAGGACGAUCAGCAACACUGGAACUGAGACACGGUCCAGACACCUACGGGUGGCAGCAGUCGAGAAUCAUUCACAAUGGAGGCAACUCUGAUGGUGCAACGCCGCGUGGAGGAUGACGGUCCUAGGAUUGUAAACUCCUGUCAUUGGGGAGUAAGACUUAAGCGUUAAGAGCGUUUAAGUUUGAUAGUACCCAAAGAGGAAGGGACGGCUAACUUCGUGCCAGCAGCCGCGGUAAUACGAAGGUCCCAAGCGUUGUUCGGAAUCACUGGGCGUAAAGCGUGUGUAGGCUGCGCGGAAAGUCAAAUGUGAAAGCCCGGGGCUCAACCUCGGAACUGCAUUCGAUACUCCCGUGCUAGAGUAAUGGAGAGGUAAGUGGAAUUCCUGGUGUAGCAGUGAAAUGCGUGGAUAUCAGGAGGAACAUCAAUGGCGAAGGCAACUUACUGGACAUUUACUGACGCUCAGACACGAAGGCUAGGGUAGCGAAAGGGAUUAGAUACCCCUGUAGUCCUAGCAGUAAACGGUGCUCGCUUGGUGUGGGAGGAUUCGACCCCUUCUGUGCCGGAGCUAACGCG
rnacentral:rRNA from 5 species